CAGUCGCCGCGGUAAUACGAGGGGGGCAAGCGUUGUUCGGAAUUAUUGGGCGUAAAGGGCUCGCAGGCGGUUUCUUAAGUCUGAUGUGAAAGCCCCCGGCUCAACCGGGGAGGGUCAUUGGAAACUGGGAAACUUGAGUGCAGAAGAGGAGAGUGGUAUUCCACGUGUAGCGGUGAAAUGCGUAGAGAUGUGGAGGAACACCAGUGGCGAAGGCGACUCUCUGGUCUGUAACUGACGCUGAGUAGCGAAAGCGUGGGGAGCGAACAGGAUUAGAUACCCCAGUAGUCCCUGUCUCUUAUAA
rnacentral:rRNA from 1 species